rnacentral:rRNA from 1 species
UCAGGAUGAACGCUGGCGGCGUGCCUAAUACAUGCAAGUCGUACGAGGGAAGUCCAGCUUGCUGGACGGAACGAGUGGCGAACGGGUGAGUAAUACGUAGGGCAACCUGCCUGCAAGGACUGGGAUAACACCUGGAAACGGGCGCUAAUACCGGAUAGGUAACGAGGGGCAUCCUUCUGUUAUUAAGGUUAAAAACACAAGCAGAUGGGCUUACGGUGCAUUAGCUGGUUGGUGAGGUAACGGCCCACCAAGGCGAUGAUGCAUAGCCGGCCUGAGAGGGUGAACGGCCACAUUGGGACUGAGACACGGCCCAGACUCCUACGGGAGGCAGCAGUAGGGAAUUUUCGGCAAUGGACGAAAGUCUGACCGAGCAACGCCGCGUGAAGUGAAGAAGGUUUUCGGAUUGUAAAGCUCUGUUGUAAGGGAAGAACAGCACGGAGAGAAUCCGUGAAUGACGGUACCUUACCAGAAAGCCACGGCUAACUACGUGCCAGCAGCUGC